UACGUAGGGUGCAAGCGUUUAAUCGGAAUUACUGGGCGUAAAGCGUGCGCAGGCGGUUUUGUAAGUCUGUCGUGAAAGCCCCGGGCUCAACCUGGGAAUUGCGAUGGAGACUGCAAGGCUUGAAUCUGGCAAAGGGGGGUAGAAUUCCACGUGUAGCAGUGAAAUGCGUAGAGAUGUGGAGGAACACCGAUGGCGAAGGCAGCCCCCUGGGUCAAGAUUGACGCUCAUGCACGAAAGCGUGGGGAGCAAACAGG
rnacentral:rRNA from 1 species